rnacentral:rRNA from 1 species
GUAGUCCUACGGGACGCAGCAGUGGGGAAUAUUGGGCAAUGGGCGCAAGCCUGACCCAGCAACGCCGCGUGAAGGAAGAAGGCCCUCGGGUUGUAAACUUCUUUUGUCAGGGACGAAGAAAGUGACGGUACCUGACGAAUAAGCCACGGCUAACUACGUGCCAGCAGCCGCGGUAAUACGUAGGUGGCAAGCGUUAUCCGGAUUUACUGGGUGUAAAGGGCGUGUAGGCGGGAUUGCAAGUCAGAUGUGAAAUUCCAGGGCUCAACCCUUGCCCUGCAUUUGAAACUGUAGUUCUUGAGUGAUGG